AUUGAACGCUGGCGGCAGGCCUAACACAUGCAAGUCGAGCGGAUGAAGGGAGCUUGCUCCUGGAUUCAGCGGCGGACGGGUGAGUAAUGCCUAGGAAUCUGCCUGGUAGUGGGGGAUAACGUCCGGAAGCGGGCGCUAAUACCGCAUACGUCCCGAGGGAGAAAGUGGGGGAUCUUCGGACCUCACGCUAUCAGAUGAGCCUAGGUCGGAUUAGCUAGUUGGUGGGGUAAAGGCCUACCAAGGCGACGAUCCGUAACUGGUCUGAGAGGAUGAUCAGUCACACUGGAACUGAGACACGGUCCAGACUCCUACGGGAGGCAGCAGUGGGGAAUAUUGGACAAUGGGCGAAAGCCUGAUCCAGCCAUGCCGCGUGUGUGAAGAAGGUCUUCGGAUUGUAAAGCACUUUAAGUUGGGAGGAAGGGCAGUAAGUUAAUACCUUGCUGUUUUGACGUUACCAACAGAAUAAGCACCGGCUAACUUCGUG
rnacentral:rRNA from 1 species